ensembl:rRNA 5S_rRNA 5S ribosomal RNA
GUCUAUGGCCAUACCACCCUGAACACACCCAAUCUCAUCUGCUCUUAGAGGCUAAGCAGGGUCAGGCCUGGUUAGUACUUAGAUGAAGACUGCCUUGGAAUGCCGGGUGUUGUUGGCU